AGUGAACGCUGGCGGUAGGCCUAACACAUGCAAGUCGAACGGCAGCACAGUAAGAGCUUGCUCUUACGGGUGGCGAGUGGCGGACGGGUGAGGAAUACAUCGGAAUCUACUUUUUCGUGGGGGAUAACGUAGGGAAACUUACGCUAAUACCGCAUACGACCUACGGGUGAAAGCAGGGGAUCUUCGGACCUUGCGCGAUUGAAUGAGCCGAUGUCGGAUUAGCUAGUUGGCGGGGUAAAGGCCCACCAAGGCGACGAUCCGUAGCUGGUCUGAGAGGAUGAUCAGCCACACUGGAACUGAGACACGGUCCAGACUCCUACGGGAGGCAGCAGUGGGGAAUAUUGGACAAUGGGCGCAAGCCUGAUCCAGCCAUACCGCGUGGGUGAAGAAGGCCUGCGGGUUGUAAAGCCCUUUUGUUGGGAAAGAAAAGCAGCAGGUUAAGACCCCGCUGUUCGGACGGGACCCAAAGAAUAAGCACCGGCUAACUGCGG
rnacentral:rRNA from 1 species